rnacentral:tRNA from 1 species
GGAGGCCUUAGCUUAAUUAAAGUGUUUGAGUUGCAUUCAGAAGAUGUAUAUUAGAAUUGUGCAGGCCUUC